UUCUUAUCAUGACCUCACCGCUGCUCUGGGGAACUAUGCUGCUUGGAAGACUAACCACACAGGUUGUUUUUGGACGAGCUGGAUUAGACUAUUUACAUGGUAAAAUGUGUUUCUAUUUACGAAAAAUUCAAGAAACAUGCCACCUGAGGAUGUGUACCAUGUGGAUGCCACUUGAUCAUCUGAAUAUUCCAGGAUAUAUUAUACAUAAGGUAAACAUGUAAAUGUUGGAUACCCAUAGAAACAACAGAAGAAAGUUGUUGUUGCGAUGAGUCAACAUAUUCACCAGAAAAUGGCAGAUUAUCCAGACCAUCCACUGCAGUGCACCCAGGUUUUAUUACUAGCUGUCUGAACUUAUGAGUACUUGAGGUUGUCGAUCUCCAAUUCAGGGAACAGUAUCGGCAGUGACUGGAUUUUCAAUGACACAAACAGAGCUAUUUUAAAAAUUAUUAAUAUUAAUAUUUCUCCAAAUCAGCCCAUCUUUUUGCCAUUUACAGUCAGAUUUUUCAACAUAAAGAAUUGUUUAUAUUAUUAUUGUUCCUUAUAAAAGCAGCAUUCGUCCAAUCAAUGCUUGUUCAAACAAAGUCCCAUUUGGGAAAAUUGUCACAUGAGUAUAUUUUCUUAUUUUGAGGUCUAUACUGCUUAUAGAAAGCUUGUGAGAAGGCGCUGGGAAUUGUAGGUAGAUAAAAAUGCCACUUCCAUCCUGCUGUCUGAGAUUUGUGGCAGAUGGCCAAGAGUACACAGGAUUUAAAUGCGCUACAUGCUGAAUUAUUUUGUUUUGCCUUUGUGUAAAUGUCGAUGUAUAUGUUUGUUUAUUAAGUAAACAUACACCACAGAACAAAAAUCCUUGCAUU